rnacentral:lncRNA from 1 species
UAUUACCUAUCUUUCACUUGAACAAAUGGAGGAAGCCUGCAAUUGAAGAGCAGUGUAACUUUUGGGCGUGGAUAAAAGGAGUUAACUAAAGCCAAUUGAGAAUAAAAGUAUCUGGAUGUGUUCUUCAAAGUAUUGAAGCAUAUGAAUUGAUAUUCAUAUUAAAGCAAUUGCCAACAUGGACAUGUUAAAGAAUUACUGCGAGGCGCACUUGAUUCUUUGUAGCAUGCUGGAGGUAGUUGGAAUCAAUAGAGGGAUGUACUUAAGCAAUUGCCAACAUGGACAUGUUAAAGAAUUACUGCGAG